AUUGAACGCUGGCGGCAGGCCUAACACAUGCAAGUCGAACGGUAACAGGAAGCAGCUUGCUGCUUUGCUGACGAGUGGCGGACGGGUGAGUAAUGUCUGGGAAACUGCCUGAUGGAGGGGGAUAACUACUGGAAACGGUAGCUAAUACCGCAUAACGUCGCAAGACCAAAGAGGGGGACCUUAGGGCCUCUUGCCAUCGGAUGUGCCCAGAUGGGAUUAGCUAGUAGGUGGGGUAACGGCUCACCUAGGCGACGAUCCCUAGCUGGUCGGAGAGGAUGACAAGCCACACGGGAACGGAGAGCCGGCCCAGACCCCGAGGGGAGGCAGCGGGGGGGAAUUUUGAAAAAGGGGGGAAAGCUGGAAGCAGCCAUCCGGGGUGAAGGAGGAAGGCUUUCGGUUUGUAAAGUCUUUUGAGGGGGGGGGAAGGGAGUAAAUUUAAUCCCUUCGCUCUUUGACGUUACCCAAAAAAGAAGCACCGGCUAACCCGGUG
rnacentral:rRNA from 1 species